UUUUACAAAACAUGGCCUUUAGAUUAGUUAAUUUAAGGUCUAUCCUGCCCAAUGAUAUUAUUUAAUGGCCGCAGUAUUUUAACUGUGCGAAGGUAGCAUAAUCAAUUGUCCUUUAAUUGGGGACUGGAAUGAAUGGUUUGAUGAAGGGCUAGCUUUCUUUAUCUUAUAAAAUGAACUUUAUUUUUGAGUCAAAAAGCUUAAAUAAUUUUAAAGGACGAGAAGACCCUAUAGAACUUUAUACAUACUUAUAUUAACAAUAUUUAGGUUAUAUAUAUAUUGUUAAUAUUUUAAUGUAUUUUGUUGGGGUGACAGAUAAAUAUAAUUAACUUUAUUUUAUUUAUAUUCAUGAAUUAGUGUAUUAAUGAUCCAUUAUUAAUGAUUAUAAGAUUAAGUUACCUUAGGGAUAACAGCGUAAUUUUAUUGGAGAGUUCAUAUCGAUAAUAAAGUUUGCGACCUCGAUGUUGGAUUAAAAUUAUAAUUGGGUGCAGCAGUUCAAUUUAUAAGUCUGUUCGACUUUUGAAAUUUUACAUGAUCGAGUUCCC
rnacentral:rRNA from 1 species